rnacentral:rRNA from 1 species
AUGCAUGGCCACCGGCGCACAGCACACACGGCCACCGGCUUCUCCGCAACGAACAACCUUGUCCAAGAGGUCCACAACCUUGGGAUCUCCUUCCCCGCGCAAGGACUCGGCCGAAUUCACCCUGAAGCCCUCGCCAUCAUCCUCCAACUCCAAGUCCGAGUAUCGUCGUUCGUCGUCGAUUACCUUGCUGUUGCUGCUUCCCCGGCCUCACCGACCUCGCCGUCGGGUUCAUCGAGCACGAAGUUGCUCGGUCCGGUCCGGUCUAGACCGGCCGCGAGUAGCCGGGGCGGCAGCGCAGUCGAGAGAGGUGUCGAGACGGUCGGGAAGAAGGAGGCCAUCACGCACGGCGCGCUCGUCUCAGACCUCUGCUAG